rnacentral:rRNA from 1 species
UACAGAGGUCCCAAGCGUUGUCCGGAUUUAUUGGGCGUAAAGAGCUCGUAGGUGGUUCGGUAAGUCGGAUGUGAAAUCUCCAGGCUCAACCUGGAGGGGUCAUUCGAUACUGCCGUGACUAGAGUUCGGUAGGGGAGUGUGGAAUUCCUGGUGGAGCGGUGAAAUGCGCAGAUAUCAGGAGGAACACCCGUAGCGAAGGCGGCACUCUGGGCCGAUACUGACACUGAGGAGCGAAAGCGUGGGGAGCGAACAGG